rnacentral:rRNA from 1 species
GGCCUUGACAUACUAAGAACUUUCCAGAGAUGGAUUGGUGCCUUCGGGAACUUAGAUACAGGUGCUGCAUGGCUGUCGUCAGCUCGUGUCGUGAGAUGUUGGGUUAAGUCCCGCAACGAGCGCAACCCUUUUCCUUAUUUGCCAGCGGGUCAUGCCGGGAACUUUAAGGAUACUGCCAGUGACAAACUGGAGGAAGGCGGGGACGACGUCAAGUCAUCAUGGCCCUUACGGCCAGGGCUACACACGUGCUACAAUGGUCGGUACAAAGGGUUGCUACCUCGCGAGAGGAUGCUAAUCUCAAAAAGCCGAUCGUAGUCCGGAUCGCAGUCUGCAACUCGACUGCGUGAAGUCGGAAUCGCUAGUAAUCGCGGAUCAGAAUGCCGCGGUGAAUACGUUCCCGGGCCUUGUACAUACCGCCCGUCACACCAUGGGAGUUUGUUGCACCAGAAGUAGGUAGUCUAACCGCAAGGAGGACGCUUACCACGGUGUGGCCGAUGACUGGGGUGAAGUCGUAACAAGGUAAGCGUAGAUGA